rnacentral:rRNA from 1 species
GCAGUCGAGCGGUAUAGGUUUUCGGACCUAGAGACCGGCGCACGGGUGCGUAACGCGUAUGCAAUCUACCUUUUACAGAGGGAUAGCCCAGAGAAAUUUGGAUUAAUACCUCAUAGUAUUAUUGAAUGGCAUCAUUUAAUAAUUAAAGUCACAACGGUAAAAGAUGAGCAUGCGUCCCAUUAGCUUGUUGGUAAGGUAACGGCUUACCAAGGCAACGAUGGGUAGGGGUCCUGAGAGGGAGAUCCCCCACACUGGUACUGAGACACGGACCAGACUCCUACGGGAGGCAGCAGUGAGGAAUAUUGGUCAAUGGGCGCAAGCCUGAACCAGCCAUGCCGCGUGCAGGAUGAAGCAUCUAUGGUGUGUAAACUGCUUUUGUACGAGAAGAAACACUCCUACGUGUAGGAGCUUGACGGUAUCGUAAGAAUAAGGACCGGCUAACUCCGUGCCAGCAGCCGCGGUAAUACGGAGGGUCCAAGCGUUAUCCGGAAUCAUUGGGUUUAAAGGGUCCGUAGGCGGUUUUGUAAGUCAGUGGUGAAAGCCCAUCGCUCAACGGUGGAACGGCCAUUGAUACUGCAAGACUUGAAUUAUUGGGAAGUAACUAGAAUAUGUAGUGUAGCGGUGAAAUGCUUAGAGAUUACAUGGAAUACCAAUUGCGAAGGCAGGUUACUACCAAUAUAUUGACGCUGAUGGACGAAAGCGUGGGGAGCGAACAGGAUUAGAUACCCUGGUAGUCCACGCCGUANACGAUGGAUACUAGCUGUUCGGAGCAAUCUGAGUGGCUAAGCGAAAGUGAUAAGUAUCCCACCUGGGGAGUACGUUCGCAAGAAUGAAACUCAAAGGAAUUGACGGGGGCCCGCACAAAGCGUGGAGCAUGUGGUUUAAUUCGAUGAUACGCGAGGAACCUUAC